rnacentral:rRNA from 1 species
CCGUGGCUUCGACGGGUAGCCGGCCUGAGAGGGCGACCGGCCACAUUGGGACUGAGAUACGGCCCAGACUCCUACGGGAGGCAGCAGUGGGGAAUAUUGCACAAUGGGCGCAAGCCUGAUGCAGCGACGCCGCGUGAGGGAUGGAGGCCUUCGGGUUGUAAACCUCUUUUAUCGGGGAGCAAGCGAGAGUGAGUUUACCCGUUGAAUAAGCACUGGCUAACUACGUGCCAGCAGCCGCGGUAAUACGUAGGGUGCAAGCGUUAUCCGGAAUUAUUGGGCGUAAAGGGCUCGUAGGCGGUUCGUCGCGUCCGGUGUGAAAGUCCAUCGCUUAACGGUGGAUCCGCGCCGGGUACGGGCGGGCUUGAGUGCGGUAGGGGAGACUGGAAUUCCCGGUGUAACGGUGGAAUGUGUAGAUAUCGGGAAGAACACCAAUGGCGAAGGCAGGUCUCUGGGCCGUUACUGACGCUGAGGAGCGAAAGCGUGGGGAGCGAACAGGAUUAGAUACCCUGGUAGUCCACGCCGUAAACGGUGGAUGCUGGAUGUGGGGCCCGUUCCACGGGUUCCGUGUCGGAGCUAACGCGUUAAGCAUCCCGCCUGGGGAGUACGGCCGCAAGGCUAAAACUCAAAGAAAUUGACGGGGGCCCGCACAAGCGGCGGAGCAUGCGGAUUAAUUCGAUGCAACGCGAAGAACCUUACCUGGGCUUGACAUGUUCCCGACGGUCGUAGAGAUACGGCUUCCCUUCGGGGCGGGUUCACAGGUGGUGCAUGGUCGUCGUCAGCUCGUGUCGUGAGAUGUUGGGUUAAGUCCCGCAACGAGCGCAACCCUCGCCCCGUGUUGCCAGCGGAUUAUGCCGGGAACUCACGGGGGACCGCCGGGGUUAACUCGGAGGAAGGUGGGGAUGACGUCAGAUCAUCAUGCCCCUUACGUCCAGGGCUUCACGCAUGCUACAAUGGCCGGUACAACGGGAUGCGACGCGGCGACGCGGAGCGGAUCCCUGAAAACCGGUCUCAGUUCGGAUCGCAGUCUGCAACUCGACUGCGUGAAGGCGGAGUCGCUAGUAAUCGCGAAUCAGCAACGUCGCGGUGAAUGCGUUCCCGGGCCUUGUACACACCGCCCGUCAAGUCAUGAAAGUGGGCAGCACCCGAAGCCGGUGGCCUAACCCCUUGUGGGAUGGAGCCGUCUAAGGUGAGGCUCGUGAUUGUGACUAAGUCGUAACAAGGUAGCCGUACCGGAAGGUGCGGCUG